ACAUACCACCCUAUCAGCAUGAAAUCGCCUGAUCUUGUCUUAUUUUGGAAGAUAAGCAAAGUUGGAGAGUGAUUAGUGCUUAGAUGGGAGACCAUCAGCAAAUACCACAGAUUUUCAAGGAAGGUU
rnacentral:rRNA from 1 species